rnacentral:rRNA from 1 species
CUCUGUGACUCCUACGGGAGGCAGCAGUGGGGAAUAUUGCACAAUGGGCGCAAGCCUGAUGCAGCAACGCCGCGUGAGCGAUGAAGGCCUUCGGGUCGUAAAGCUCUGUCCUCAAGGAAGAAUAAAUGACGGUACUUGAGGAGGAAGCCCCGGCUAACUACGUGCCAGCAGCCGCGGUAAUACGUAGGGGCAAGCGUUAUCCGGAAUCACUGGGCGUAAAGGGUGCGUAGGCGGUUUUCAAGUCAGAAGUGAAAGGCUAUGGCUCAACCAUAGUAAGCUUUUGAAACUGUUAAACUUGAGUGCAGGAGAGGAAAGUGGAAUUCCUAGUGUAGAGGUGAAAUUCGUAGAUAUUAGGAGGAACACCAGUGGCGAAGGCGGCCCCCUGGACAGAUACUGACACUCAGAUGCGAAAGCGUGGGGAGCAAACAGGAUUAGAUACCCUGGUAG